GAAGGCUCCCGAAUGAGAUCCCCGUUUCCCACCACGGGCUAUAAAUUCCGCUCUGAUUGGUUUCCCUCUCAGCUAUGGCUUAUCUCCGUUUCGUAUCUGAACGUGAAAGGAGAUUCUAAUAGGAGCUUCGCUAUAACUUCAUUGGAUCUUCUUGUCAUUGUGUCUUGUUUGUUUGCAAUUUGGAUCGUCGACCAAAUCGUCUCUCUCACUCCAAGUAGAAAGUUCGUUGUUCUGUGACAGUUUGCAGUAUUCAUUAUUUGCUCUUUUGUUUCUUCGCUGUGUUUAAAUAAUUGUGUUCUCUUUGAGCUUCUUUCGAUUCUUCUAUUAGGUAAUGUGGCUGUAGUUUCUUUUUCUUUCCUUCCUCUCUCCUUGCAUUUUAGCUGUUUGAGUAGCCAUAGGAUAUGGCGUGUUUAGUUUCGGAGAAUUGCUUUGGUGGAAGAUAUGAUAAUUCUUUGAAGGAUUGGGAAAUUGGUGUGUUUUGGCUGUCAUUCACGAUGACGCGUUAUUAAUAUUUGAAAUUCUGGAGCCGGACAGAGUCGUGCUUGAAAACUUUGGAUGCCUUCGAGGGGAGGGUUUUGUGGUUGCCUUCCCCUUAACGAUUUGUGAAUUGAUGAUAGUGAAUGUAAUCUUCAAGUAGAAGGAAUUUAUUCCUAAAAAGAUUGGUCGAGGCUGUAUUCUUUGUUUUUACCCGUUUGUUAUAUAUCAUAUUCGUGUUUUUGUGGUUGAUGUUUCUGGACUGUGUUUGUUACUGGAUUGCUGUUGUCAUUGACAGUGAUUACUUCUUCGUGUAUCUGUUGAGCUGAAUCGUAUUUGCGAAUGGUUAUUCUUUUGCUUCAUAACGAUGAACUUAGCUUGAGAAACAAGUAUGAGUUUAUUCACUUGUAAGGAGGACGAAAAAAAAAAUGGCGAGGCUGUUGGAGAUUUGAACAGAUGAAAAGAUUAGGAUUUUCUGUGUAAAAUAAUUCUAUGCCUUGUAUGACGGAAGUGUAGGUUUGCAUCUCUGAUCGGUUUUUCCUUGUGCUUAUAAACAAGCUGACAACAAUUUACCUAACUAUUGCGUCUUCAUGUAGCAACUGUCUAUGUACUUGUGAAUAUAAUUGUGAUGCUACAAACCUACACUUAAUUUUAUGGAGGAUUGCUGUUAGUUGAGUAUUGAACUGCAUACAAAGUCUCCGCAGCGUGGGUUGCAUGAGCAGAGCUCAUUUCCUGGAACCCUAGGAUCAUUGCAGUUUAGUGACAUUUCCCAAAUCCUUUCUGGAAAUGAAUUUUUGUCUUUAUUAGUUAUCCGUUGUGUCAUUCUUUGGUCUGUGAUUUCUUAAAUGUUGAGACGUGAGAGUAAGUAGACCUUUGAAAGAGGGGGCUUAAAGCUGUGUAUUUAAUUCCUUGGGUGAAGGAGAGCAUUUUAGCUAAUUUAUUUGUUAGGAGGCAGUUCACGUGCAAGGUGUUAUGUAAUUAGGUAUUUUCCAUGAGUCUGCCAGCCUGAAAGGCUCACGAAAGUCUAGUUAGUUGAGGGACCAUGUGGCUUUAGGAAUCUUUAUGGAGGGAAAUUUUGAUGGGUUAUGCAGCCAGCUUGAAUCUACUGUGGUUCAGCCAAUCGCAGAACAUUUUUUUUUCCAGUGGUUGAAGAAACAGAACUUUUGGAGCCCCACCCUUGUGAGUUAUGCCAUUUUGAGGUUUAUUGUAAUCCCUUUCUCUCUGGUAUCUUGUUAAAGGAGUGGUCAAAUAAGCAGCAGCUUUGAACCAGGUUUUAUUUUGUUCAAGGAGGCAGCUGUCUAUAGGAUUUUGUGUUUGCACCGUUAGCACCAGUAAUGAAAUCUUUCAUUCGUUAAUUAUUCCUAUAUAAAUUUAAACAGUGUGGUGGUUGCUUUAUGCCACAUUCAUUGUUCAAUCUCACAGCUGAUUACUUAACCACUCCUAUCAAGACCAUCUUCCCUCCAUGCUUCAUCCAUACAAUAAAAUCUGCCUGUGCUUCAUCGAAUAGCAUCUGUUGUUAGAAGAGACAAACCCACUGCUUAUUUGGGUAAUGACUUUGGAAUCUUGAAUAUGGAUAAUUUAGUUGCUGGAGUGGCAUUAAUGAUCUUUCCAGCAAUGGUGCCACAACAUUGUUACAUAGCUCUUCGUUAUCAAGCGAUCAGAUAAUGAAGGAAAUAAAUGCUAUUUUGAGCAAAGGAUCUACAAAUGGUGCAGAUGUUAUGAAAUGUAUUUGGCUUUGGUAAGUUUCAGUUCUUGGAGGAGUCGGUGCAGAAAUGCCAGUUAAGGUUGGAGUGUCUAUUGGAUGGAUCCAGUAUAGUUGGAUUUGGUUCCAAGAGUUCGUCAAGAUGUCAAGUGAUCAUUCCAUGCUAUUGGUUUCUAUUUACUGCUGGAGGCUGUCAAGUACCCCAGUACUACCUUGUUAUUUUAUGUGGAAUUCUUGUGUAUGCACUUUUUUUGAUGUGUUCUCUUGGAGUGAUGCUGAUUGGAGCUGUCCAACCUUAGUUCAAUUUUGUUGUUGCUGAUUUCAAUUGGUCUGCAGCAGAAUAGAAGAAAGCAACAGUGCAUUCGGUGUUUGCCUGGCUUGAUGGGGUGACUAGAUAUGCCUUUGAAAGUCUUAGAAUUGUUUCUAAAUCUUUUCCUACAUGCAGGUUGCUAGGCAUAUUGCCUGCUUCUAUAUAAGUUAGUAAUCUUUUCAAAGACAACUAUUAUCAUGGGAGAGGUUGCUGUUAUGCACUCAGAGUCACUGCCAUUUGAGUGCAAAGACCUGAAACGCAUGAAUGUGAAAGGGGUGUAUGCUCCACAGUCAAAUGCAGAUCACAUGCCUGGUGAAGAAUCAAGUCAAUCAACGGAUGACAAAAAGAUCAAUGAGUUACGAGAAAGAGGAUAUCUGCAAUAUGGAUGUUCACAUUACCAGAGGAGAUGUCGUGUCCGAGCCCCUUGUUGCAAUGAGGUUUUUGAUUGCCGUCAUUGUCACAAUGAGGCAAAAAAUAAUAUCAACAUUGAUCAGAAGUAUAGACAUGACAUCCCCCGCCAUCAGGUCAGACAGGUGAUAUGUUCACUUUGUGGGACUGAACAAGAGGUUCGCCAGAACUGUAUAAACUGUGGUGUUUGUAUGGGAAAAUACUUUUGUGAGACAUGCAAGCUCUUUGAUGAUGAUAUAUCUAAGCAACAGUAUCAUUGCAAUGGCUGUGGGAUUUGCAGAGUUGGAGGACGUGAUAAUUUCUUCCAUUGUUAUAAGUGUGGAUGCUGCUACUCUACCAUGAUUAAAAAUAGUCACCCAUGUGUGGAAGGAGCAAUGCAUCAUGAUUGCCCUGUCUGUUUUGAGUAUUUAUUUGAAUCCAGAAAUGAUGUUACCGUUAUGCCUUGUGGGCAUACAAUCCACAAGAGUUGCCUGAAUGAAAUGAGAGAACAUUUCCAGUAUGCGUGCCCGCUUUGCUCGAAGUCAGUUUGUGACAUGUCAAAGGUUUGGGAAAAGUUUGACCAGGAGAUUGCUGCUACUCCCAUGCCUGAGCCAUUCCAAAAUAAAAUGGUGUGGAUCCUUUGCAAUGAUUGUGGAAAAACUUCGCGCGUUCGGUUCCAUGUUGUAGCUCAGAAGUGUUCGAACUGUAAAUCGUACAACACGCGACAGACAAGAGGUUGAGGAUGUGGAAAAAAUGUUAAUUGGUUACUCAAAGACAAGGCUGCAUUUGGGCUCACCUGAUUCUUGUGCUUAGAGAAGGUGGUGGCAACAGUGUGUCCUCCAUGGAGUACGAGGAAUUCCACGUGUCGGAAUCUUUGACUGGGUGGUUUACUUUCACGGCGCUGUGUCACAUGCCAAGAGUACUGAACCCUGGUUCUCUAUGUUUGAUUACGUGUCGGGGCAUCGUCAUUGCUGGAUCAGUUAAUGUGUUGUGUUGGGCUGGUGGAAAGUCAUUGUUGCAAUCGAUCUGUGUUUCCGGUGUUAACCUGCGUUCAUUGGAAUAAUUGUUGUGAUGUUGGGGUGGCGUAAUCUUUUCCGGGCAUGGAUCACCAAUAGCCUUCCCCAAAACCGGGGGAACUAAAAGCACAACAAAGGAACGAGAUUGCGGGGCUCCUUCGGCUGGGCGUAACCAAUAAUAUCUCCUUGUAGAAUAUAGUCUCAUCUCCACCUCCUGAGUAAUCAACUCUAAUAUACAAAAUUGUAGCAUUAACAAAUACUCCUUUCAUCUUAAAUUACAAGGUAGUUUAAGAUAAAAUUUUCUG